UCUCCUUUCCAACAAAAAAAGAAUUAUCAAAAUCGGUAUAUCCAGUAAAAAGUUAUGCGGUAUAAUACAACGUAGGUCGACGAAAAAAGCGUCAAGUAAAAACGCAUUAUUAGACAUAAUUCGAAAAGCAGUUGUUAGAUCUCAAAUAAAUUUAAAUGGGACCAAUCGGCACACACCACCUUUCGAUUAAAAUAAAAUUUGUCGAAAUCGGUCUACCUGGUCAAAAGUUCUGAUGUAACAUACAUAAAAAAAAAAAAAA
rnacentral:misc_RNA from 1 species